GGAUGCGAUCAUACCAGCACUAAAGCACCGGAUCCCAUUGGAACUCCGAAGUUAAGCGUGCUUGGGCGAGAGUAGUACUACGAUGGGUGACCUCCUGGGAAGUCCUCGUGUUGCAUUUC
rnacentral:rRNA from 16 species